GUCGGGGAGUUUGUAUACAUCUUAGGAGGUUGGUGCCCUAACACAUGGAAUGGAUUCUCUUUAGCAGCACUGAAAGAUGUACUACCCGUCAUGAAGCUCUCAAUAUCCUCUGGUGUCAUGGUUUGCUUAGAGCUAUGGUACAAUGCUGUUCUAGUCUUGCUGGCAGGAUAUAUGAAGAAUGCAGAGGUUGCGAUAUCUGCAUUCUCUAUUUGCCUCAAUAUCAAUGGAUGGGAGUUUAUGAUAAGUCUCGGCUUCCUUGGAGCUGCUUGUGUCCGGAUUGCAAACGAACUCGGGAAAGGAGAUGCUAAGGCUGCAAAAUUCUCCAUCAAAGUCUUAGUGAGCACUUCACUUAUUAUCGGACUGUUCUUCUGGGUUGUGUGCUUGAUCUUUGGCAGAAAUCUCGGAUACUUGUUCAGUGAUGAGAAGGCGGUUGCUGACAGCGUGGCUGACCUUUCUACUUUACUCGCCUUCUCGAUUUUGCUCAAUAGCAUUUACCCUGUACUCUCAGGUGUGGCUGUAGGAGCUGGUUUACAAAGCACAGUUGCAAUUAUAAAUUUGUGUUGCUUCUAUUUGAUUGGAGUACCAAUUGGUGCUUUGCUUGGAUAUGUGGCUCAUCUUCAAGUGAAGGGUAUAUGGAUUGGAAUGAUAUGUGGAGUUGUUACUCAAUCAGCUGCCUUAUGCUACAUGACAUGGAAAACAGAUUGGGAUGAAGAGGUAUCAAAAGCCAAACAAAGACUUAAUAGAUGGUACUUGAAAUCUUCUGAAGAGUGUAAUCAAAAUGAUCAAGCUUAAGAAUUUGUUGCCUCCAAAUUUUUUUCAACUCUAUUUUUGGUCAUAUAUUUGGCUAAAUUAGCUUACAAUUUGAGCUUUGAAUUUAAUUUUUGUGGUAAUGCUCUAAAUUUCACCUCUAGUAGAUGAUUUUGUAAACCUUCAAAUUGUUGUAGUGGAGUU
rnacentral:misc_RNA from 1 species